rnacentral:rRNA from 1 species
AUUGAACGCUGGCGGCAGGCCUAACACAUGCAAGUCGAGCGGAGCGGCGGACGGGUGAGUAAUGCCUAGGAAUCUGCCUGGUAGUGGGGGAUAACGUCCGGAAACGGGCGCUAAUACCGCAUACUAUCAGAUGAGCCUAGGUCGGAUUAGCUAGUUGGUGGGGUAAAGGCCUACCAAGGCGACGAUACAUAGCCGACCUGAGAGGGUGAUCGGCCACACUGGGACUGAGACACGGCCCAGACUCCUACGGGAGGCAGCAGUAGGGAAUCUUCGGCAAUGGACGGAAGUCUGACCGAGCAACGCCGCGGGAGUGAAGAAGGUUUUCGGGUUGUAAAGUACUUUCAGCGGGGAGGCGUUACCCGCAGAAGAAGCACCGGCUAACUCCGUGCCAGCAGCCGCGGUAAUAC